AUUCUGUUGCUGGUCAUUACAGUCCCUCGGUAUUUAUUAUAUAAGAAGAAAUGGAAGUCAGGCCAUUCUGAUUGCUUCUCAGGAUAUAUUACAGCCAGAUCCUCUGACAGUGGCACUGAAAACUCAAGUCAGUCAUCAACAGUGGCUUGAGACGAGAUCAGAAGGAUGAAUCAGGAGAAUCAUCAGUGCUUACUCAUGGACCUCAUGUGACUCCAUCUUUUAUUUUCCUCAUUUAUCACAUC